GAUGAACGCUGGCGGCGUGCUUAACACAUGCAAGUCGAACGAGAACUUGAGAGACUGAUUCUUCGGAUGAAGUCCCUUGAGGGAAAGUGGCGGACGGGCGAGUAACACGUGAGCAACCUACCCUUUACAGUGGAAUAACAAUCGGAAACGAUUGCUAAUACCGCAUAACAUAUACCUUAGGCAUCUUCGGUAUAUCAAAGAUUUAUCGGUAAUGGAUGGGCUCGCGUCUGAUUAGGAAGUUGGUGAGGUAACGGCUCACCAAUCCGACGAUCAGUAGCCGGACUGAGAGGUUGGUCGGCCGCAUUGGGACUGAGACACGGCCCAG
rnacentral:rRNA from 1 species